UAUAGCCAAGCCGAUCUGACCCUAUUACACUGUUGAUCAGAUAAAAUGACAAAUAAAAUAAAAUAAAUUAUACACAUAUAGGAAAAUAUUUGGCCGGCCUGCAGGGUGAAUAGAUCUCUAUACGUACUUGAUCAGAUUAUUAAGUUGUACAAUUUCAUGAAUCUAAUGUCUGCACUCUAUACAAAUCGGCAAGUACACUUACACUCACAUAUUAACUAUUAUAUAGAACCUUUACUAUAAAUUUCAGGUUGCGAUUACCGAGUUGACUGAUUGCGGUUUUAGUAUAAAUUCAGUAUUGCAAAAUAAUAAUAUAUUCAAACGUUGUAAAUAUAAUUUACUUCACUCUUCCACUUUUGAGUCAAACGAAUCCAGCUGUCGGAAUCUUGUCGCCCGGUUCGGUUAUUUUCCGGUUUUAAAUUGCUAAAUAAAUUUUUUAGGCAUCUAAGACUAAAGGUGCUUUUGUUAUUCGGAAAUAGGUUAACACCAUAUAUUGUCGCUUCUUUUGCUUUCAGAGGAAUAGUAGGCUAUGUGCUUUAAUUUCUUCCGAACUUUUUCUUCGAUGAUUUGUUUGCAAGUGGAUUUUUGGCAACCAUUUUGUUUUGAAAGCAAUAAUUACUGCUCAGAGCAGUCUGAGCAGUAACUAUUUCCUCAGAGUCACUGCUGAGGGAGCCAAUAAGAACGCUUGAAAGCCAUUUUUCAAUACUGAAUUUAUGCUAAUGCUGUAUAUUUGAAGCUAUAUGGCUGCACGCAUGCGCAAAAUAUAUAUUUUAUAACAAGUACUGUUUACAACAUGUGCAGUAAUUGUUUCAGGAACACUUGAUAGACAAAUAUUUUCCCCUUGUUGCAUAAAUGUUAAUUUUCACCACUGCUAUUUGAGUUUACGACUAAAUGAUUUAUAACAGCGAUAUAGGUUAUUACACCUAAUAUGAUUGAAAAAGAUGACAAAU